GGAUCCAGACUUUGAUUAUGGCUCAGGAUGAACGCUAGCUACAGGCUUAACACAUGCAAGUCGAGGGGAAACGACAUCGAAAGCUUGCUUUUGAUGGGCGUCGACCGGCGCACGGGUGAGUAACGCGUAUCCAACCUGCCCACCACUUGGGGAUAACCUUGCGAAAGUAAGACUAAUACCCAAUGAUAUCUCUAGAAGACAUCUGAAAGAGAUUAAAGAUUUAUCGGUGAUGGAUGGGGAUGCGUCUGAUUAGCUUGUUGGCGGGGUAACGGCCCACCAAGGCAACGAUCAGUAGGGGUUCUGAGAGGAAGGUCCCCCACAUUGGAACUGAGACACGGUCCAAACUCCUACGGGAGGCAGCAGUGAGGAAUAUUGGUCAAUGGGCGAGAGCCUGAACCAGCCAAGUAGCGUGCAGGAUGACGGCCCUAUGGGUUGUAAACUGCUUUUAUA
rnacentral:rRNA from 1 species